rnacentral:tRNA from 1 species
AAUAUAGCUCAGUCUGGUAGAGCGCUUGCUUCGGGAGCAAGAGGUCGUGGGUUCGAAUCCCGCUAUUC